rnacentral:rRNA from 1 species
CUCGUAGGCGGCUCGUCGCGUCCGGUGUGAAAGUCCAUCGCUUAACGGUGGAUCUGCGCCGGGUACGGGCGGGCUGGAGUGCGGUAGGGGAGACUGGAAUUCCCGGUGUAACGGUGGAAUGUGUAGAUAUCGGGAAGAACACCAAUGGCGAAGGCAGGUCUCUGGGCCGUUACUGACGCUGAGGAGCGAAAGCGUGGGGAGCGAACA